rnacentral:rRNA from 1 species
GACAGAGGUGCCGAGCGUUAGGCGGAAUCACUGGGCUUAAAGCGUGUGUAGGUGGAUGGGUAAGUACCUUGUGAAAUCCCACAGCUUAACUGUGGAACUGCUGGGUAUACUGCCCGUCUUGAGUCACUCAGGGGCGAGCGGAACAGAUGGUGGAGCGGUGAAAUGCGUAGAUAUCAUCUGGAACGCCAAUGGUGAAGACAGCUCGCUGGGGGUGUACUGGACAACUGAGACACGAAAGCCAGGGAGCGAACCGGG